rnacentral:rRNA from 1 species
GAUGAACGCUGGCGGCGUGCUUAACACAUGCAAGUCGAACGAUGAAGCCCAGCUUGCUGGGUGGAUUAGUGGCGAACGGGUGAGUAACACGUGAGUAACCUGCCCUUAACUCUGGGAUAAGCCUGUGAAACUGGGUCUAAUACCGGAUAGGAGCGUCCACCGCAUGGUGGGUGUUGGAAAGAUUUAUCGGUUUUGGAUGGACUCGCGGCCUAUCAGCUUGUUGGUGAGGUAAUGGCUCACCAAGGCGACGACGGGUAGCCGGCCUGAGAGGGUGACCGGCCACACUGGGACUGAGACACGGCCCAGACUCCUACGGGAGGCAGCAGUGGGGAAUAUUGCACAAUGGGCGCAAGCCUGAUGCAGAGACGCCGCGUGAGGGAUGACGGCCUUCGGGUUGUAAACCUCUUUCAGUAGGGAAGAAGCGAAAGUGACGGUACCUGCAGAAGAAGCACCGGCUAACUACGUG